AGGACGCUUCCUUCGGGAAGCGAGCGUACACAGGUGCUGCAUGGCUGUCGUCAGCUCGUGUCGUGAGAUGUUGGGUUAAGUCCCGCAACGAGCGCAACCCUCGACUUUAGUUACCAUCAUUAAGUUGGGUACUUUAAAGUAACCGCCGGUGAUAAGCCGGAGGAAGGUGGGGAUGACGUCAAGUCCUCAUGGCCCUUACGCGCUGGGCUACACACGUGCUACAAUGGCAAGUACAGUGGGCAGCAAUCCCGCGAGGGUGAGCUAAUCUCCAAAACUUGUCUCAGUUCGGAUUGUUCUCUGCAACUCGAGAGCAUGAAGGCGGAAUCGCUAGUAAUCGCGGAUCAGCAUGCCGCGGUGAAUACGUUCCCAGGCCUU
rnacentral:rRNA from 1 species